GGAGGAGGAAGUCAUAGCUAAACUGAAAGUAAACAAACCAGUAUAAAUAGCCAUAUCCUGCACGUUUGCACAACAAUACGAGCAGACUGUUACAGCUCUCACUUCCAAGGAGAUCACCAGAAGACGAAACAGUCAACUAUCCAGGCCUGACGAAGGAAGGCAGGAACAGACUCGUAGUCUCAAGUAGACGAACAGAGGAGAAGAUGGGAAAUGUUUAUGGCGACAUCAAGAAGGUCGAAACUUCUGGUGCCUCAAAGAAAACGGCUCAGCAGGACAACCUCAGCUACAAAGGUAAACGCUGCAGUAGAGAAACACAGGAGCCGAUUUGAUCUGACGAUGUAUAAAUAAUCACAAAGCUGUCAUGUACAGUAAAGUAUGCAGCCCCACUGUCGACAUCUUCAUCAUCAUCAUCAUCAUCAUCAUCAUCAUCAUCAUCAUCAUCAUCACUAUCAUCAUUGAACACCUGCCUUAAGGAGAUAAAGGCUUGGAUGAAAGAAAAUUUCCUUCAACAAGACAUCCUCCUAUCGGGAUUUCAAGCGGGAGCCUUCAAAAGAGAUGCAGAGGAGCAUAUAACGCCUGGGGACUGAUGC